UUAGGGUUUUCUUAAUCCUGCUCUCAUCUCUAGGCUAACAUACAGGUUUCUAGCCACACUAAUAAGACUCCCAACAAUCAUAUGGAAGUGCAAACAACUACUAAGUCUUAAUUCCCUCUAGUUUGUAUCACCUAUAUGAAUUCUUUGCUCGUGUUGUGUUUUGUUGUUCGCUAAACUUGCUUUAAUUUUAAGAUAUUGUAUGUCUUGAGACAGCUUUCUCCAUGUCGAUUUCAUUAAAAUAACAGAUUCUUGCUUGGCAUAGCUGCUGUGAUUUUGCUUUAUUGAGCCGAGGGUCUUCCGGAAACAGCCUCUCUACCUUCACAAGGUAGGGGUAAGGUCUGCGUACAUACUACCCUCCCCAGACCCCAUUUGUGAAUUCACUGGAUAUGUUGUUAUUGUAACAGAUUCUUGCUUGGCUAAAAAUGGUUGAAUGAGUUCGAGUCAGUUGUUACUAUAGUAAUGUUAUGGACAAUGACGUCCUGAAAAUACUUCUUUGGUGUUUUUCCUAUUAUAUGUUAAAUUUGAACUGUCAAGGUAUGCAAUUCAUGAAAUUAACUUGUUGGAGCCACAAUGAUGAAAUCACUGUUGGAUGCUUUCGGAUUAUUGAAGCGAUAAAGUGAACCCUGGAAGUCACUGCCUAGCUUGCUAAGUGACUCUCCUCUCUGUUGCCUUGCUGUCUGAAUCAAAAUGGGCAGACGACUUCUUUGCCUUAGCCGAUACCACUGAUUGCUGCUUGUGUUUCUUUGUUCUACAUCUAGCUCAAUUUUUGUUACUUUUCGUCGAUUAAUAACUAUGAGCUUUUUAUAUUUUUUCUGGUCCUUUUCUCAGAUAAUGCAAUACAGAAUAUUGUUUUAGAAGCCCCAUGGUUCAAAUCCAGCCUGAGCCUGUGUGUUUAUGCUAGCUCAGCUGCUUUAUGAGAGGUUGACACUUCAAAAAUUCUAGCAGAAGUUCUAUGCAAUGAAUCCAGUGGAAAAACAGAAGAGACUGUACGUACCGCGUGUAGAAGACAGAUUUAGCAACAUGAAAAUGCUGAAGAUUUCGAGUCUGAAUGAUCUAGUUCUAAGCUCGAUGGACAUUUUGGAACCAGCCCCAGUAGAUUCUGAUGGAAAAGAGCGUGAAGAGGUUAUGCAGGCUUGUGAACCUGUGGACUUGGUUGUUCUACCUGGGCUUGCGUUUGACAGAUCUGGACGAAGGUUGGGACGUAAUGGAGGUUAUUAUGAUAUGUUCUUGAGGAAGUAUGAAGAUCUAGUCAAGGAAAAAAACUGGAAGCGGCCCUUACUAGUUGCCCUUGCAUAUUCCAUUCAGAUAGUGGAUGAGGGUGCUAUGGCUACCACUCCUAAUGAUGUUCCAGUAGACGCACUCGUUUCACCAGCUGGCUUCUCUCCCAUAAGUCCAGUUGCCUUGAAGUUAUAUGGUUAAUCGUCUCUAGCAAGAAAAUAUAUCAGGAAGUUUUUCCCCGGAACACAUUCUUCACAUGUGACUGGUCCACUGAUACCAAUAUGUCAGAUUAUUUUUCAACAGGCAAUGGAAUUCAAUUCGUCACAGCCAGGGAGCCUAAUUGCAACAUUAAAAAGUCCAUCAUAGUAAAAUGGCUUAAAUCACCCCGAGAGCGGUAUAAGCUUAACAGAGAUGGGGCAUUCAAAUCUAGUAAUUUGUGUUGCGGAAUUGGUAGAGUCAUCCGAAACAGCUCAGGAGACUAGGUAGUUGGAUUCAAUAACUAUAUGCAUGUUGCUACUCCUAUCCAAGCAGAACUACUAGCUCUUAAACAUGGCCUUCAACUUGCAUGUGCUCUCCAACUGAGUCUAUUAGAGAUUGAAACAGACUCAACAGAUGUACUUCUAGACCUUGAACAUGGUUAUCCUACGUACAAUCCCAUUAUUUGUGAAGGCAGGGGUUUGAUGUACCAAAUGGAGCAGGUGGUGGUCAGACAUACCUUUCGGCAAGCAAAUCAAGUAUCUCACGGUUUGGCAAAGGAAGCUUCCAAGCAGUCCAAACUUAAUCAAAUCAGGAAUUUUGCAGUCCCACCACAUUUUGUAGAAAAUCAGUUCCUAGCAGACAAAGGUGGAACACAUUUUGUUAGGAUUAUUUCGGAAAAUAAAUGCACUAAGUUGGUUAAACUUGGCAACCAAAAUGCCCUAAGUGGCAUCUCUAUGAUAUGUAAUAUGACUGGUUUUUGGUAGUACUAAUAUUAGUAUUACUAUUUCUCAAAAAAAAAGUUUAAUAAACGGCAGGCACUUGAAAGUA